UAUAUGAUGGCAGAUUAGUGCAUUAGGUUUAAACCCUAAAAAUGAAUUUAUUCUUAUAUAA
rnacentral:tRNA from 2 species